AUACUUACCUGGCAGGGGAGAAGCCACCAUCACGAAGGUGGAUUUCCCCAGGCAGGCCCUUAUCCAUUGCACUCUGUAUGUGCUGACCGCUGCGAUUUUCCCAAAUGUGGGAAAUCUGACUGCAUAAUUUGUGGUAGUGGCGGACUGCAUUCUUGCUUUCCCCGG